UUGUCUGAUGACAGCCCCUUGACCAAGGCUAGAUAGAAAAAGGGACAGAGGUACCCAAGGGAGGAAGCCUCCAGAAGGGGGGAGGAGAUGAAGCUGGUGGAACCGUCUCCUCACCAAGGGCUGGGCACUGAGAGGAUACUGGUUCUGUCCAUGAUGUGACUUAUCCUAGAGCCUGUACUAGGGCAGACAGUGGCAGGUGCUCCAUCAGGGAGAUGCUGCGUGCUCCUGAUCUGGUGAGGCUCUGAGGAAGGUGUAUUCCCUCUUGCCCCUGGAGAGACCCCUGCAGCCUGGGUGGCCCAGGAGGGCUGGCACAGGUGGCAAUGCCACUGGGAGUCAGCACUGGCUCUGUGGGGCCACUUUUCUGUGUCUUCUUGAACUUCAGCAGGUGGCAAGCCCAUGAGCUAUCUUCAACCAUGGCAGUGAAAGGAGCACCAGGACAGCAGGACCAGCUCUGCCAGAAACUCAUCUUCACCCAAGUGCUGGGCACUCAGCUCCCUCAGGGCAGGGGGCAAGAGCAAGAACUUGUACUCAAAGGGCUCAGGCAGCAGGGCUUUGGGGAUGCCUUUGUCUCUGGCCUUUUUAAACAAGCAUAACACAGAGGGAACCAUAUCCACUUCCUUCUGGGCUAACAGUAUCUAGCUUUCUGCUGCAGGUGCAAGGACAUUAUGGAUUGCCUAGAAUCCUUGCUAUGCUGAUGGGGGGACUGGGAGGUGGGGGGCAGCAACAUCUGGGCCAGCUGUGGACUUUGCUCCCCAGCAGGCAGCAAGGACACCAAGACUGACCUCAGAGCAUGCAGAGGCACCUUGUGGUUUGUUGCCAUCAUCAAGGGUGGGUGACAAUGGGGAACUCCCAAUGGAUGUCCCGUUUAGGGCCAUACUUGGAGGCGAAGGAUUGGCAUUGCUUGUCCUAGUGAAACUGGACACACUAGUUUCUUUUUUGCCUGGAUCCCUCAAUGGCUCAUUCAUCAACAAAUAUUUGUGCAUAAUUACGAAAAAAUACUGUGCUGGGAUAGGGAGUUCCCAUCAUGGCUCAGUGGUUAACAAACCCAACUAGUAUCCGUGAGGACAUGGGUUCAAUCCCUGGCCUCGCUCAGUGGGUUAAGGAUCCAGCAUUGCCAUGAGCUGUUAUGUAGUUUGCAGAUGCAGCUCAGAUCCUGCAUUGCUGUUGCUGUGGUGUAGGCU
rnacentral:lncRNA from 1 species